GUCGGCAAUGUGGAGGUGACACUGCAUCCGGACCCUGGGCAACAUUUUGUCCACUCCUGGAUUAAGUUCACAGUGGGUAACCCGGUAUAGAAGCACACACAUGUGCAUGCUUGAAAACAAAGCUGUUUUAAGAUGAAUGAUAUAAAUCAAUAACAUACACUGUUCUAUGUUUGACUGGUAAACAGAGAUGUCAAAGAACUGCAGUGGAAAGAAAGGAGCAGAACCACAGAGUUUUGGGUGCUCAUUUAGUUGUUUGGGACUAACUAGCAUGAAGAUAAGCGGUCAUUCCUACAGGACUUUAAGAGCCCAGAAAGGAAGAGCAACUGCAUCUACAUUGUCAGUAUAAUUCUGCUCCUUCUCAUCAUUUGGGUCUUAGCAAUUGCACUAGACUCUCCAUCCCAAGACACUGAGGCACCGACAGAAGCUUCCCAGGCUGGCCAUGCAAGGAGCGG